GAUGCUGAGACAGUGCUUGAUGAUCUAGACAUGUCGAAAAUAUACAUCAUCGGUGGCCUGGUGGAUCGAAACAGAUGGAAGGGCAUAACACUGAAGAAGUCAGCUGAGCAGGGAAUUCAAUCUGCAAAGCUUCCUAUUGGAAACUACCUAAAAAUGUCAAGUUCUCAGGUUCUUACAGUUAACCAAGUGUUUGAGAUAAUGUUGAAGUUUGUGGAAACAAGGGACUGGAAGACGGCAUUCUUCCAUGUGAUUCCACAAAGGAAGCGAGGAGAAGCUGAGACCGGAGAUUAAUGGUGAAAGCAUUCCUUUAAAGACUUCUCAAAUCCUAAUGUGCAAUUUCACUGAUGAACAUGUGCACAGUUUUGCCUCCUCGCCUUUCUUGUCAACCUACUAAUAUUAGGAGCUAUGCAAAAAUGUUCUUCAUGCUCUGAAUGACUAAACCCUGCAUUUCUAUGCAACGCCAUGCUCAGUUUUAGAUGA